rnacentral:rRNA from 1 species
AAAUGAAUUGACGGGGACCCGCACAAGCAGCGGAGCAUGUGGUUUAAUUCGAAGCAACGCGAAGAACCUUACCAGGACUUGACAUCCUACUGACAGACCUUUAACAGGGUCCUUCUUCGGACAGUAGAGACAGGUGGUGCAUGGUUGUCGUCAGCUCGUGUCGUGAGAUGUUGGGUUAAGUCCCGCAACGAGCGCAACCCUUGUCAUUAGUUGCCAGCAGUAAGAUGGGCACUCUAGUGAGACUGCCGUGGAUAACACGGAGGAAGGUGGGGAUGACGUCAAAUCAUCAUGCCCCUUAUGUUCUGGGCUACACACGUGCUACAAUGGCUGGUACAGAGAGACGCAAGACCGUGAGGUGGAGCAAAUCUCCAAAACCAGUCCCAGUUCGGAUUGUAGGCUGCAACUCGCCUACAUGAAGUUGGAGUUGCUAGUAAUCGCAGAUCAGAAUGCUGCGGUGAAUGCGUUCCCGGGUCUUGUACACACCGCCCGU